CAGCAACGCCGCGUGAAGGAUGAAAGCCUUCGGGAUGUAAACUUCUCUUGAACGGGAAGAAUAUGUGAGAGCUAAUAUCUCUUACGAUGACGGUACUGUUUGUAAGCUCCGGCUAACUCCGUGCCAGCAGCCGCGGUAAUAAUAA
rnacentral:rRNA from 1 species